ensembl:lncRNA
AUGCCACCACAACCACAAACACAUACUGUUGUAGUAGAGCCUGUGAGUAACAUUACAAACAGUAGUGUGGGUGCCAGAAGGGGAAAAAGGGUUACUCGGGAGCAGGAAUCUGAUGAUGAGCAGCAGAGAAAGAGAAUUCGGGACAUACUUACAGCACCUACAGAUGAAGAGUCGUUUGAGGGAUUCUCUGGGGAUGAUGGGUCAAUGAGUGAAGGAGAAGAAGGAGACACAAUGGAUUGGACUAAGAUAAGAGAAGUGCAAGCUAUUUGUGAGGUACCAACAACUAGUGAUACCUUUAUGGGGUUCUCUGGGAGUGAAGACUGGCAAUCAAGGGAUCCAACCGAUUUUUGGGGGGAUCUAAGUCUUGACAGGAGAUGGAGGAAUUGGAGGGAGAGUCAAAGGAAUUCACGUGAAGAGCUGGGAGCAGCUGCAGGGGAUGGUGACGGGGCGGUGGUCAGUUCAUCCUCUGAUGAUGGGAGACUGAGUGAAGGAGACAUAGGCUUGCGGAGCGGAGGAACGAUGCCACUGAAUACCAAUUAACAACCAUCAAUGCCACCAGAUUUAAGGCAGUGGUGUAUGUAUGCAGGAGGGAGGUUACACAGCUAAUACUAUUAGGGAAGUAAUAUUCUAGAGAAAGAAUUUCAUUUUUAUUUUAAAUAUCUAUAUAUAUAUAAAUCUGUUCUGUCCAUUUCUACCUUAAUAAAAACAGUGAAACUACAAAACCCAGAACCAUGAAACUUGGCAACAAAACACAUGGUCCUCCCCACUGUGUUUAGAUGACAAAACCAAAACACAAUUAAAAGUCCAUGUCCCUCAGAAUCCCAAAAUUCAAAAACAGCUAUGUGCGCAUGCACGGAGCUGGCCCCUGCCCCCACCCUUGGAAGACAUACAGAUAUUUCAGCAGUGCACGAGCAGCCCAACCACCAUGGCAGACGGCUUGCCUUACGCUGGGGAAGACGACGCGGCUGAGGAAAAAAAGGGGGAAAGCUUUCCCCGUCUCAAGCAUCCAAAAACUAAUCAGUGAGGGACAAUCGGACAUUUGCGAACGCGCCUGGGGGCGGGGGGGGGGGGGGGGGGACAACACUCUGAAAACAGGUGAAUUGCACACAAGAAACAAACAGGGCCAGCUAACACAUCCCAACAAAGGAUUCACCCAGGCAGGAAUCAGCCAGGCUUUAAAGUUGCAAAGCCAUUACAUGCUAAUCAUUCUGGCUAAUUGCAGCAUUCAUACUUCCCUCCAACAGACAAAAAAACAAACAAACAGAAAUACUGUAUAUUAACAAGCUUUAGGAAACAAUAUCCCCUAAUGGUGCAGCAUGUUAAAGCGCUGAGCUGCUGAACUUGCAGACCGAAAGGUUGCAGGUUCACAUUGGGGAAGCACAGUGAGCCCUCACUAUUAGCCCAAGCUUCUACCAACACAGAAGUUAGAAAACAUGCAAAUGUGAGUAAAUCAAUAGGUAACGGUACUCCAAGCAGUCAUGCCAGCGGCCACAUGACCUUGGAGGUGUCUACGGACAAUGCCGGCUCUUCAGCUUAGAAAUGGAGAUGAGCACGAACCCCCAGAGUCAGAGACAACUGGACUUAACGUCAGGGGAAAAACUUUACCCUUUACCUUAACUACCACCAGUUCUUCAAUACUUUAUUUCCCAUACCACCAUACUUCGCCACAGCAACGCGUGGCCGGGCACAGCUAGUAUUUUACAAGAAUGUAUUCUACUGUAUAUACUUGCAUGUAAGUCGACCUCAUGCAUAAGUCAAAGGAAGGUUUUGAGGCCAAAAUUAUGGAUGUUGAUAUGACCUCUAGAUAAGUCGAGGGUCACUCCACUGAGUGGUGAAUGCACCGUGAUAGGGGAACCAUGGC